UCUGACGACCAUAGCGAAUCGGCCCCACCCCUUCCCAUCCCGAACAGGACCGUGAAACGAUUCCGCGCCAAUGAUAGUGUGGUUUUCCCAUGCGAAAGUAGGUCAUCGUCAGAC
rnacentral:rRNA from 1 species